UACGAAGGACCCAAGCGUUAUCCGGAUUCAUUGGGUUUAAAGGGUGCGUAGGCGGGCCCAUAAGUCAGUGGUGAAAGCCCUUCGCUUAACGAAGGAAUUGCCAUUGAUACUGUAGGUCUUGAGUACAGUUGAGGUGGGCGGAAUGUGUCAUGUAGCGGUGAAAUGCUUAGAUAUGACACAGAACACCAAUUGCGAAGGCAGCUCACUACACGAAUAUUGACACUGAGGCACGAAAGCGUGGGGAUCAAACAGG
rnacentral:rRNA from 1 species